CCGGCGCACGGGUGAGUAACACGUAUGCAACCUGGCCGUCACAGGUGGAUAACCGGAAGAAAUUCCGACUAAUACAGCAUAACACUCCUGAGGGACAUCCCUUGGGAGUCAAAGGAGGCAACUCCGGUGACGGAUGGGCAUGCGGCGCAUUAGGUAGUUGGUAGGGUAACGGCCUACCAAGCCGACGAUGCGUAGGGGUUCUGAGAGGAAGGUCCCCCACAUUGGUACUGAGACACGGACCAGACUCCUACGGGAGGCAGCAG
rnacentral:rRNA from 1 species